UACGAAGGGGGCAAGCGUUGUUCGGAUUUACUGGGCGUAAAGGGCGCGCAGGCGGCUCUUCAAGUCAGAUGUGAAAGCCCCGGGCUCAACCUGGGAACUGCAUUUGAGACUGAAGAACUCGAGUUCGGGAGAGGAUGGCGGAAUUCCCAGUGUAGAGGUGAAAUUCGUAGAUAUUGGGAAGAACACCGGUGGCGAAGGCGACCAUCUGGACCGAGACUGACGCUGAGGCGCGAAAGCGUGGGGAGCAAACAGG
rnacentral:rRNA from 1 species